UCCAAUAUCGAGAGUUGGCACUGACAGCUCGUCUCUUGUUCGAGAUGGAAGGGUCUGCACUAGCAGCCCUCUUGCUACUUCUAGAUUGGCUCGAUCCUUUGGCAUCGACUCCUUUUGGAUUGGCCCGAUCGUCGUCAUGGCUUGAUAUGAAUGGAGGAGUCUGCAAUGAAGACACGGAGUGUGUUGGUUUUACUAGAAUUGGAAGUGAAGAUCAGAUCAUUGUGGCUGGUACAAUGAAGCAACUUUAAUUGCAUGUAUUUUUCCUGUCAAAUAGUACUGUAGGAGUGUGCAACUACUCAAAUUUUGACGUGUUAUUAUGUAAAAAAUUAAACUCUUCAAUAUUUUGUGCUGAAAGUAGUAACUUUUCAAUAUGUUGAAUAUUUAAGACUACUUGAAUACUUAAAGAACAUUUUGUUGUUGAUGACAGUGUUGAAUGUUUUAAACUAAUUUGUGGAUUGUUAAUACAAUGUUGAAUGUUUUUACUUUUUGUUAUUUGAAAAUCAAGUUCAUUUGAUAA